GCUCGUACCCUUGGAAAUCCUUCAGACAAGUGAUUGUAAUUCAUGCGUUCGGCUCAGCCCCAGCCCGUGGCUCUGAAGGCGCAGCUCUGUGUCUAAACCUAAACGACGUACCCUUCCGAGGGCCCUGACCCUCUCAUUUUAAGCUGUCCUCAGGCUCCCGAAUGCUGUAAGACACGGCCUAGGCAAUCAGUGCUCAUUAGAGAACUGUUACAAUAAGAUGUAAUUUAUCUUACUAUAAGCGGGCAAGUUCCAUAUAAAUCAAUAAAUGCGGAACCACCCACCGGGAAGUCACAUUCAAAACAUCUCCCCAUCCUCCUCUUUCCAGAGCUGUUUACGGCCUUAAUCAAUAGACCUCCUGUCUGCUGCUAAACUCACCCCCCAAACUCUCCGGGAGCAGAAACAGGAAUUGUAUCCUGUCUGCAGAACAGACUACGCUAGGGAGCGACUCUCCAGUGGUCGAUAUAAAAAGCAUUUCCCAUGUGCAAUCAGUCCAGGCUGAGGCUUGGCACAGACUGCCCAGGGAACAGGUACCAGCAGCAAUGUCCUCCAGCGGGGCUGGACACCUCCCGUCUCUCGAACAGGACAUCACUACUUCACUCUUCCUAGGUUUCAUGAGGAGCUGAAGGCAAGCCACCAGAAUUCAACCAGGGAUGGCUCCUUGAAUUCAAGUCCCAGAUCUCCUUAGAAAAGGCACUCCCUGCCCACCCUGACAACAGAAUUACCAGCAUUCUGGAUGACAAGGUCAGCUUCCCCAUCUUUAAGCCCUUGAAAGGAAACUCUGAAUACUACCUUUAAACAAGAGACUUACAGAAAUUAUCUUGGAGCAUUUCUUUGCAAGAUACCUGUACCAAAACCGAGGAGAUAGGAAUUAAGAUUGACUAGUUUAGCAAUUCUCUCUUAGCGCCUCUGUGGCUCCGUGCUAAUCCUCAUGGGGAGGAAAAAAAAAAAGAUUACCCUGGAAAAUUAAGAUACCUUUAUAAGAUUCUGUCUGAAUUUAUCUGCUACCCACAUAAUGGACUCUAGAGUUCAGUUUAAGCAUGUCAGUGCACAGAAAGACCAAAGAACAAGGGGAGAAAAGCACACAGUGAAAAGUCAGUUUAAUGACAUCUUGCAUGACAAAUUAUGGCAAUUAUCAUAAUUGGAAUUCCUAAAACUAGAGAAGAUUAUGGGGAAACAUGGUAAAUUUUCAAAUACUUAACAUGUUUCUAGAAAGGAAAUAAACCAUUUUCUACACUCACUGGGAAAAAAAGAGGCCAACCUGCAGAAUGGGACGCAUUAGGAACAGUCAUUUAAUGGCAGCAAUACCUAAGCAAUGGAAUCGAUACCUCCGUGACCGGGAAACCGGGAGAGUCAUUACAGAGUUGGGGUUUUAUUCCUGCAGGCUUCUAACGAUUUGGCCAUCCGCCCAGCCUGGUUUCAGUGGAGGGCCGCUGAGGACUGGCUUAUUUAGAUCCUUCCCUGCCCUGUCUUCUCUGAAGGAGUGCAUCAUGCACUGGGAACGGGACUACGGAAAGAUGAUGUAACUACACAGUUUCUUACCUUAAUGUCUGUAUUUCCUGUGGAUGUAAUCUUACGGGUAAGAGGUUUACUUCUGGUUUUAGUAACACCACCAUUCUUGCAACAUUUUCCUCAUCAAAUGUGCUCAACUUUAUUAUACUCUUCAGUAUCUUUUUUUUUUUCCCCCUGGAAAAUUUGAAAGGCUGUGCCCACAUCAGUCAGCAGCCAGAACAAGAUAUACAGUAAUUGCUAACAACAUCCCUACGUUAACAACAGACCUAAGAGCAAAGAUGCAGCAGGAGGGUGGUGCAAGCAGAAGAUUGUUGUAAGGCAGCAAACCCGGUCAUCAACAGCCAUGGCCAGCACAGGAAAUACAGCGCAGGGCUCGGGGUGUUACGUUUGACUUGUUUUCUGAUAAAAGUUUUCAUGUAGUUCCUACGUACAGUCUUACACAAAUCUUUCAAAACACAUGGGUAUUAUCUGGCUUUACCUGUCUCUAGUUUACUAAGGCUUAAAGCAGAGAGUGAGAGAGUUUUGCUUUGGCCUAACAUCUUGUUGGGCAGGGCAUGAACUCAAUCUAUGGCCAGUUCUGUUAGUGGGUCGCACUAAUAUUUUCCUCUUCACUAUAAACAUAUAUGCAAAGCUUACAGCUGAAAUAAAAUUUGUAUCAGUAAGUAAUUGCCAGAUUUUUUUAGAAUGCUGUAGGUGAUUGUGUAUCACCACUAAACCCCAGAGCAAGCAUGCUUAUUCCAUUUUUCUGAAUCUUCACGCACCAUCAAUUUCGUUUUAGGUAAAGCACCUCAAAGUGAGACUCUGCGUAGACCCCACGGAGCUUGGGACCAGGAAAUAACACCUGCUGCUCCACAAGUCCUGCUGACCAGGACACCUGAUUAAUCUUCUUUAUGCUGACAACAAGCAGCUUUAUGCUGCAAGGCUGUGUGAAAAGAGUAGUUUAAAAUCUGAGUAUCUCAGCGUAAAAAGAUCAAGAUCCAAAAUGCAGAUCACUUAUUUGAAAAUAGAGAAGUUCCCCAGACCUUGUGACACAGAAAUUGUGUGGGUGGGCAUUAGGAAACAUGCUAUGCAUCUGCUAACGAGCUGUGUGAGAAGGGGUGCAUCAAUAGGUUUGUGCAGGGUUAAAAACCCCCAUAACUCUAAGGAAAAAAAAAACAACCAAAAUGCAAAAAAGUACGAGCAGACAACCCAGAGAGAUCACAAAUGCAGCGGCACAGCUCAUCAUUAGCCCUUUUCACUCCCUGGAAAAGCAAUCCAAGAUGUUCCUCCAACCAGCUAUCAAGAAAAGCAAAGCAACCCCUGCCCCAACAGCUUAAGUCUCCAACCGUGGUUAACAAUGGACAACAGGCAGAAUUAAACACGUUCGACUGACAGUGAAGAAAAGCGUGUUUCAUUAAAAUAGAGGCAAUAAGGACUGUUUUGCUAUUUGAAUAAUUUCAAAAGUUGCUUUUGUGCUAAAACCUGGGGUUUCAUUUUCAAUUCAUGCUACAUUAAAUGCUUCUUCCCCUUUAAUUUUCUUUUAAGUGGUGCAUUUUAGGUCUCCUUAACCUACAGGAGAAAGAGCAAGCAAGUGAGAAAUUAUCUACCAGUAAACUAUUUAUAAAGGAAAUAGAACAGUUUGGGGAAUUUACAAGGGAAAGUGACCUGGUCACUGUUCUUAGUGACUACCAAAUUCCAACUUUGCUGGACGAGAAUAUACCAUAUGUUUUAAUAACAAAAUAAAACUCAACUUUCACACAAAAGGCCCAAAUUAUUAGAAAACAUCCAAAGCAAAAAGUGAAUUACGGUUACAGUAGGAGUACUUCAGAAUUACACACAGGAAAACACAUUCUUUCUUUUAUUUUGGUGGAACAGAAUACAAUAUCCUUCAGCCCAAACUAUUCGAAGCUGGCAAUAUUACCUUUUUCUUCAUGCUGCAAGACUUCAGGAAACAGAACAGGGACAGGAAGGGUUAGAAGUUAAUUUUCUAUUUAAGGCUGUUAAUUCAGCAAGAUAUUUAAAAAUGUACUCAACUUUAAGCAUGAAUAGUUGCAUUGACUUCAGUAAGAUUAUUCACAUGUAGUAAGUCAGGCAAGUGCUUAAAUGGCUUGUUGAAUCAAGCCAUUAAAUGAGAGCUGCUUUAUUAUACAGAUUUAUUUUAAUGGCUGACGGAGCUCAUUACAUGAGCCUAUUUUAUUCUUCCAAGGGCUAACAGCUGUUUCCUCAUCAACUUUUCUGAAGGUGUAACCUGUAUGCCUCCUACACUUUACUGUAGCCACAGAAAUAUAUCAUUUUCUAAGAAAAAUUGUAUGCAACAUCUAUUAUAUAUAGUGGCUUAGCUCUCCCUUAAAUAGUAACAGAAAAGAACAGUACAAAACAAUAGUUUCACUUUUUCAACAGACAAGAGCAUCUUAUUGAAAAACUAAAAUAAAAAAGUAUCACCACAAUAUAAAUCCCCAAAUAACAAUAAUGAAAUGGGAAGAAAGAAAAGGAUUUAGCAAAACGUCCUGUGGACUUUAAAGUCUCUUAUUACCGCAUUAAAAAAGCUUUUCUGGUGAACCACAAUGUUUUGUUUCUCUCUGUUUACAAACCCACUAGACAGGGAACAACGGUGUCCACAACCUACGUUGGGAUUAAAAGGUAAAAAUAUAAUCUGCCCCAUCUGCAGUCCAAAAAGAGAAUGAACCCAAGAGGGCAGUCAGUGAGCGUAGGAACUGGUGAGGACACAGUUUCCCUGCAAGUGGCAGAAACUCGUAAGGGAGAGUAGGGGUUAUGAAAGCAGAAUUCGAGUUGGAACAGUGUCGGAAAGUUCUAUCUUGGAGGCCUGCAAGACAUGAACUACUGAAGAAACAGUCAAAAGGUCCCAAUGAAAAGCUGUGACAAGCUGUAAUGUGCCAUUUCAAUUACAAGGAUGAGGGGAAAUGUUUGUUGUUUUUGUUGGUUUUUUUUUUGUUGGGGGUUUUUUUUUUUUUUUUGCUCAUCAAUAUGAUGAGCUUUCACGUCCCAAA